GUCAGUGUGGCCGAGUGGUUAAGGCGUUCGACUCGAAUACUAUCUAUGAUAGGAGUAGACAUCGAAUGGGUUCGCCCGCACAGUAAGUCUACUUCGAACUGAAUUACAGAAAAAAACAAGAUAAACUAACAUGUACCAAUCAGGGUUCGAAUCCUGUCGCUGACG